AUCCUCCGUUCGAGCCAGCUGCGAACACACCAAUGAAAUGCAUCAGUGUAAACGUGUUUCUAUGCAAAGUAGGCAGUGAAGUAUUUUGUAGAACGUCCAUUGAGAGGAAAGGGAUAAACGACGAGAAAGCGUGAAAGUAGAUUGACGUUGUCGGACUACAUAAUUUACACACGUGCAAGUUCUUCAGGAACGGGCUACCUUUAUACCGGAUCAGCUCGCAAGUGCAAUCAGCGAAUACCUAUACAUAUACAUUCACCUAAAUUAUCGUGCAACGAUGCACGAAUUUACUCUGAACGAUCCUGACAAAAGAAUUAAUCUUCAACAUGCGAACGAAUGAUAUGUAGAUGCAUUUUUCAUCCUUGGCCGCUUGUCACAAUCCGAAGAUUCGCUCAGAGAGCUAUCUCCUGCCGUGUGCAUUCCUGAUGGCCAAUACAGGAGACAACAGCCUCCGAUCAACAAACCCGUUCUGACUGUUCGACGAAUGACGGGUUCGGAGGGUCGAGGAGGGGCAACCAAACGAUGAAAUAGGAGCAUCGGGCCCGUACACCAGUGUAGUGGCUGAUUGCCUCACGCGUGACCCUGGGGCAUAACGGACCACCCGUGUCUUUAGCCGCAGGUCAAUCGGCCAGCUCAGCGCUUCGGAUACACGUUCAGUUUUCCGCUUCUACCGUCCUCCGAUUCCGACAUCUGCUUAUCUGCUCGUUGUAACUAUCCGGCCAACGCGUCCCAUAAUUCGGCAAAAGCUUACUGGGUCAAUCGUGAAUGAAUCCACGAUGAAUUUCGACCACGACGAUACGCGUUCAACCAGAAAACACGGUGACCGUCCUUCGGCUAAAACGACUUGGAUGGUGUUUGCGUAUCGCGCUGUUCUCAUUUUCAAUCCGACAAGCUUCUCAAGAUUACAUCGCUAACAAGCUGUUUCAUUAGAGACCGUAAUAACGAUACGCGAUAACAGCCUACUCUGUUGCUCGUAAUAAUAACGACGUAAUUAAUUCUCUGUUAUUCGAGGUCUGAUUAAUACCAAUAAGAAGGAGAUUUGACAAAAAAUGAAAAUUAUAGGAAUCACGAAGGUCGGUGAUUAUCCUCUACACCGAGCGAUCUCCUACCUCUGAGAAUUUCUCUUGUAGUCUUACAAAGGUAUUUCAUUCAUUCUAACUGCGCUUCAUUCACUUGACUUAGCCUGUACACAGGGACUGUCACGCUCUCUUAUAUACUGUCUAAUAUCAUUCUUCGAUAUUUUAGUUGGAAGAUAUCGUUGAAAGAAUUGCAAACCAAGGCUUGAGAAGUAAGUGUGGUUAAAUUCCGUAUCUUUUAUUACGUAUUUUUGUAGGAUAUUAAUAAAAACAGUGAUCAACUUUCUUCGAAAUAUGGUCAUGAAAAAUCUUGUUCGAUAUAUGAUUAUACGUGAUGCAUGUUAAGUAAUAAAACAGACAAUUGCACGUCGGGUAACUUGCUAACUACAGUAUGCAUAAUCGUGACACUAUUCUACUAUCUAAGUCCCAUUCAAUAAGAAUACGCUUGAAUAAUUGACACUAUAUAUUCACCUAUGACACGUUACUUGCAUUAAUUACGGAUUGAUCGUAUUAUUUAUAAUAUUAUCAAUUAAAUUAAUCGCAAAUUAGAAUCGACUUUGUAAUUGAUAGAAGAAGCACUGCGUUACAGAAUUAGGACGAAUUAGGGCGUGGAAAAAGCUUCGAAUCUCGAUUUACCAAUAAACACGUUAAAUCAUCGCGAUAUAGUUUAAAGUAAAAUUUCCAUUUUCGUAGAAUCGUUCCAUGCAUAUCUGGCAGCGAUAAUAACGCUGAUCGUUAAUUUCAAUCGAUGACGCAAAAAAUAUUUAAAAUGUUCCCGCGGUCUGGAAGAAUGAACGUUGUCCGAGUAGCGAUGGGAAAAAAGUAAGCAACGAAUUGAAAUCGUGUCGGUCCUCAAGAAUGCAGGGUGGGAAGGUAAGAUCACGAAACCGGUCGUUUCGUGUGCGAUUUUUGCGCGCAAUCUUGUAAGACCGAUUCGUGGUGAAGGUCCGACGAUAAAACGUUACUUCGUAGUAGACGUGGAUGAGCCGGAUCGGAACGCCGCGCACCAUUUCAAGACAUCGACCGGGUCUCGAGUCGCCCUUAGCUCUGGGUCAGAGCACUGGGUAACGGCAUCGCAGGCUAUGUACCCACCGCGAUAUCUGGGUUAUAAUGUAGUAAUUACCCACGCAGACAUACCGACCUACCCCCUUUGUAAUAAUGCCGCUUGUUUUUCUUACCUCCGGUCGGUUUUGACCACUGAUUCACUGUUUCACGUAUGUUUUUUCCCGACUUUCGGUCCCGUUUAUCGAACGUUCAAUUAUUUUACGCAAAAAAGUCUUUUAAAACUGGUAGAUUUUAUUCGAAAGUACGUUUUCAAGAUCGCAAAACGUUCCCUAUAUCUCGUACUGGAAUUUUUAACGUGACCGAAAUUUUAAUAAACGACGAUACCUUUGGAAUACCAAUGGAAGUAUAAAAAUAUUAAAGGAUUUAGAAGCAAACGUAGACGUUCGAAAGAUAGUUAUUUGAAAAAUGAAAGGGAGAAUCGUAUUUACUUACCCCCUUUAGUAGGAGACAGGCUAAAAUGAAGAUUCGCCACCGCAUACCGUGUUAGCGUCCACGGUGAAGUAUUCCAACCGUACCGCUGAAAAAAUAAUUGUUCUUCUUUAAAUUAAUACAAUCUCUUAAUUAAUACAAACAAAUUAUUAAAUUAAUACAAACAAUAUUCACGCCUAGAGUUAUUAACAAAUAAAAUAUCUAAGAUAAUAAUGGCCAAUCGAAGAUUAUAGGUUUCCUUUUACGAUCGAGAUAAAUGGGUCAUCGAAAUUACCCAAGUUAACGAAAUUAAGUACAAUUCGUGAUUGAGAAACGGAGAAAUUACCAUAUGCACCGUAAAAAGCUCGUAAUUGCGAUUAUUUCACGGCAAUCUGAAUCGAUGUACGAUUAAGAUGAUACGAAGAAUUGUUAGUAGAAAAUAUCGAACAUUAAAUGGACGAACCGGUCCAUCACUGGACACCUCGCUCGUGUUUAAUCGUCAAUUAUCAGACACGCUCGCUUCAUGCGACCACUAGGCCACCUGUCCCAAAUUCCUGUCGAAUGUCCGGGUUUUCGCUCCGUUACCUCGUUGUAGUCCGCGAUACCAGACUGCCAUGAUCGAUAACUAUAGGUAUAAAACAAAUUCGUCAAAGCCGCGCCGAGUUUCAGAAAAGAUCAUAAAUCAUUUUGCACGUUGUCUUCGCCAACGAUCAUCGAUUCUCUUUGCCAUCACUGAGAAAUAACAACUGAGAAGAAACGUAAGCUGAUUUCACUAUCGAAACGAUCGUGAUCGUGUCGGCUUUUCCGCGCUCCUUCGACUUUACCGUGUUCCUUCAUACGUGUAAAAGUAUCGAAAGAGGAAGACGAACCUUAUUUAAAUACAGGUAAUGUAUUAUGUAUUCGAGAAAUAUAUGUCUUCCUUCCGCGAUAAUUAUUCGACCUUACAGAUGUUUCCGGUGACUGGUUAAUGGCGAGUACCUGUGUUUUCCAAAUAUAAAAAGAUGAAACAAAAUUAAGAUUUCCAAGGCAAAAUGAUCGCGAAUCGACCAUAAUCGUGUGGUGAAUUCGAGAUACACAGAAAACUACCGAUGAAUGUAGGCAAGUAGGUUUUCACCUAUCGGCGUACCGAAUCCACUUACGUGGAUUCAAUGCUAAAAUCGUCCUUGGCAAUAGAUUUCUGCCCUAUUUCAAGUCAAACAACAGGCGAUACACGAAACGAAUCACCGAUUUCAGAUUUGAGUGGUCGUUAAUGUGCCACUUCGAUGAUAGCAAGCUGAAAACUUCUUAAAGGUGAUCAGCUCGAAACUCUUAUCGAUCUCUAUACGAAAAUUCGUUUAAAGUGAUUCAAACUUAUUUGAUAUUCGAUAAUUCUUUACGGUCACGAUACAGAGAAUUUUUAAAAAAUACUUCUCUUCCACUUAUGCGAUGGCGAGGCAUAACGCAGCCGCAAUAAAAGUAGUGUUUCUUCCUGUUCGUAACGUGCAACGUAUAUAAUUUAUUCGUUGCUUUGAGAAAUCGCGAUCUACGCCGAAUUCCGUUAACACGGUGAAGUCACAAACGCUUAUUUAUUACUGGCAUACAUUAAUUAUUAUUCUGCUUUACGAUUCGUGCCAUGAUAGACCACGACACCUGUUCUUUCUUUCACUACGAGGCCAUGUUUAAAUAAAAAUCACCGGCGGCUGUUUACACGUCCGUUGUUCCAUGCUAACCAUGAAUCGAGCACGCUGAAGAUGUGGCAUGGUGCCAAAUACAUAUAACGGUUUCAGCGGUGUGGUAAUUCCAAAGUCAGACAUUCGCAUAAUAAGUGCGUAGCUAAUAGUGACCCAUAUGGAAAAAGAGUUGAAAUAUAUUCUCGUUCCCCUUUCUUCUCGAUUACUACACUAUCGGAAUAACGAAGACUAUGCGAAUCGUUUCUGUCGUUAAAAUAUAACAGAAAUAAAAGAGUUAACUCUUUCAUCGUUGAAUUCAAAUAUAAGAAUUUAAUGGCUCGUUAUCCACCUUUCUCUUACUUUUUCACUUUAAAUCAGUUUUGUCUCGUUAGUUCAAUCUGUCGGCAUGUAAACCAAUGUCGAUUUAGAAUCAAUGUCAAAUUACAAAAACAGGAUAACUAAUAGAUAGAUAAAAGCUCAUAAUCGUAUGCAAUAAAUGGAAAAGCGAAGUUACUUGCUAGUAUCGUUGAUGAUGUGUUUAUGAAAUGUAGUCACAUAAUGUAUAUACAUUACCCUAUCGUCUAUAAUCUAGUGAUUAUAUGGUAAUCGAACGUAAUAGAGCAAACUGACAACUUGAUGGCAACUCGAUGCGUUUUCCUAGUAAAGGCGUGCGUCGUGUUACAAUCAUAUAGAAAGUAACAUAAUUCGAUGUUACCAAUCAUUCCUUGCAUAUGCUAAUUAUACUUAAACCGGCAUAUCUUUAGUAAUAAGCUUAGCUGGAAUGUCGUCAUUAAUAAUUUAUACGAGUUUCGUUUGACUGGAAAUAGGUAUCUACUCGAUGUUAUAUUUACUCUUUUACGAAAAAGUUUCACGAUUUACAAUAACAAAAAGAUUAACUGAAAUUAUUUCGCUUCACUGAUUUCUGUACCUAUUUCAUGAGGUAAUAAUUCUUGAUCGACUAGCAGCUGUCAACUGUAGCCGCACAUGUGCGCACGUCCGAUAGAACGAAAGCGCUUACCACGUGGUUAACUAUAACGCGGUACAUACCGUAUAAUUUCUCCGAUUUUCAAUUCCUCUUAUCGUUAUCAACCAAUAAUUGAAUUUCAUCUUAACACGUGGUAAUUAUUCGUUAAUUCAUGGUGUCCUACAAUAAGUACGUCUAAAAGAUCUCGCACGUAAUUGCCUCAUAUAAAGUCAUGGUCAAAGAAUCUAAUUACUUUCUGCUUUUCAUCGAUUCUAAUCUCCAUCGAUUAGCCAUCGAUAAACAUAAAGCUAUCAAAUUUCUGCAAGGCAUUAUUUACAAGCGAUUUAUCGACAUUAUGCGCGAUACGUACAGCUUAAAAAUAUCUUACGUUUGUCCAAUCGGAAAGUAGACGUGAAAACGCAGAUGAACUUCUGACUUCUGUUUUCCAGAUUCCGUGUCAAAGAUGUGCGAUGAGAAAGAAAAGGAGGGUUCGAGCAAUGCACCGCACUGAUUGAAGCACCAUGUGCCGCGAAAUCUCCGCGUACCCGCGCGGUCGGAGCCUCUCUAAAGCACAGACAAUUGAUCUCGACCGAUUUCAGUGGCGAAAACGAGGACGAAACCGGCGAACGGCGCGAGAAGGUAGGACCCGAGAGACGUUUGCCAAAGCCAGUUGCUGCUGAUUCGUGCUCUUCCAAACGACUCGUUAAGUGUCCUCGAAGGCUCCCCGUGCGACUGAUCUCUUCGUGUUUACCGCGAUGCGCCACGAUAUCUGUCAAGGCAGCUAGAAAGACACGUUGCAGCCUGGCUGUCGCCCGAUGGUGCACGCGAGAACUCGUGGAGUCGGAAUGGGGUACACCUGUCCGAUAUAGAGAGUAUACUAUAAACGUGGCGGCCCGCCCCCUGACCCAGACACACAGUACAGUUAUAUAGGUCUCUCACGAACCGGAGGAUAUCUCUUCUCGUUCGAGCCACACUUCUGACGACCACGACCACGACUCCUGUAGAUGUGGUCGCGGUGGUGCUCCUAUUCGUUGUUCUUUUCCUUCCCGAUAACCACAUGUCGUCGCGUGUAUGCGUGCGACUCGUCGAACGUACAAUGUUGCGGUAACAUGCGUCUUUAACAUUUUUCUGUGUACCUACUACCCACCGUGCAGGUGAACGUUGCGUGGUUCACGGAACGCCUGAAUUUAAUAGACGUGGGAGACUAAUGCGUAGAACAAUUCUAGACGAUUCGUCGAAUUCUUUGGUCUUGAUAGCUUCGUACGCGACUACGUUGAAUCGAAUGUUUCCAUUAUCAUUAUACUUUACAAUUUCACUUACGAGAUUCGUACUGUUAAAUGCAAUAGAUGUUUUUAAUAUUAAUCUGUGAUCUCUUGCUCUCUUUUAGUAAAUAAUGUUUGUCGUACUUACGAGCGUUUAUAAUUAUUACGAAUUAUAUAAUUUUAAAGGGUAGCAUUAAAUAUUUUAAAAAUUAAAGCCUCUAAUUUUUAGCAUUUCUAAAUAACGUUCAUAAAAAGUCUGCGUUGAAUCGACAUCGACAAAUUAAUCGUUAAAAGUCUUUGUACAUCACAAUUUAAGUCGUUACACCAUUCGAGUACCAUCAAGAUCGGGAACUAUGUAAUGCUUUAUAGUACUGUUCACUUGUUUAUUUCACACGAAGCUUUAAUUGCGUAGUACACUUUUAUCCUAAUUACCCAGGACAAUGACUGCACAUACAUACGUGCAACCAGACGUACGAACAUUGUAAAUGGGUGAAUCAGUUGACAGUCAACCGGCCGGCCGACCGACCGACCGACUGACCGCACACGCAUUGCUGACCUAUAGAUGAGUACCAGCCGGUACUUGUGUCUCUGUGUGUAACAAUGGAUAGAAUCUUAUUAGCAACGAUCAUUGUUCGGUUUCUCCUCUGUGAAUAUACCCAGAGGCGUUUCCUGUUGGUGUAAGGAAUACUUAACUAAAUUUUGACCAUUAACUGUUGCGUUUUUUUUUUUUUUUUUUUUUUUUUUUUAAA